rnacentral:rRNA from 1 species
AGUGAACGCUGGCGGCAGGCCUAACACAUGCAAGUCGAACGGCAGCACAGGGGUAGCAAUACCCUGGGUGGCGAGUGGCGGACGGGUGAGGAAUACGUCGGAAUCUGCCUAUUUGUGGGGGAUAACGUAGGGAAACUUACGCUAAUACCGCAUACGCCCUACGGGGAAAGCGGAGGACCUCGGCUUCGCGCAGAUAGAUGAGCCGACGUCGGA